AAUUGAGGAGUAUGUGCGCGCGUUGUUGUGGAGACAGAGAGACGUGAUCAAGUUGUUGUCUCCCAUGAGAUUCUAUUUGAUCAUUUGUAGGCUGUGCUUUGAGUCAAAUGUGAGAGGAAUUACCCACGCAUCAGAUUUCCAAUAGCGACUUCAUAAAAUAAACAAAACAGCAAUGUAUUGGAGUGAUAGAGAAGGUAUUUAUAAUGCGGUGAAAACUACUCUCCAAACUGGCAUAUGAAAGGAGCGCCAAGGUACCUGAUUGGAGCGCACAGGUAGUUUACCUGCACGCAAAUGGCUGCCUUCCGGCAUGUAUUCAGAGGCACUACAGCGGAUACCUCUGCCUUUUUAUCUUGACUGAUCCACUCAUAGCCAACUGGAUUAGACUGGCGAUCAUACCAGACCAGGAAUAUGGGAACUGGAUAAAGAUGUUAUCAGGCUUGAUUACCAACAAUGAUGAGACAGCCUACAGAAAGGAAGUGAAACCCUCACAAACUUCUACAGAAGCAUCAUUCGGAGCAUCCUGUCGGCUGUAUCACCACCUGGUACUUCAAUUGCACCGCACAUGCAGGGCUCUCCAGAGGGUGGUGAAGUCAGCCCAACGCAUCACCAGGGCACACUGCCUGCCCUCCAGGACAUCUACAGCACCCAGUGUCACAGGAAGGCCAAGAUGAUCAUCAAGGACCUCAGCCACCUGAACCACGGCCUGUUCACCCCGCUACCAUCUAGAACGCAGAGACAGUACAGGUGCAUCAAGGCAAAUCUCCAGGCCAUCAGACUGAAUCUUAUACUGUUCUAGCCAGCUACCACCCUGCACCUUAGAAACUGCUGCCUUAUGUACAUAGAGUCAUUGAAUAAUGGUGGCCUUAACCUUUUACUGCAGUGGGCUAAAUCAGGGUCCCACAGAGUAAUUCUUGGUGUUCUUAAACAAAUCUACUGUGAAACAAAAGUAUACACACACAAGAAUAUGGGCUUAAAAAAACAAAGACACCUGUACCAUGUCAGAUAUAGAGUUGAAAUGGAUUACAUUUUGACUUUGCAUCCAAUAUUACCCUUUAUAUACAUCACAGAAGACUGAAAUAAAGCAAAACUGUUUGACAUAGAAACACCGGAUUUUCUGCAAGUGUUUUCAAAUAAUCUUUAUUAAUUAUGACAUUAUAAAAAAUAUGACUAACAUUCCACCCAUGAGGCAAAGGGGGUGCUUUUGGCCAUUGACUAAAGGAAAGGGAUACUAAUGUUUACGUACUGUUUCACUCAAUUUAUACACUGAAUGUACAAUACAUAAAAAAAAAAAAAUUAGGAACACCUGCUCUUUCCAUGACAUAGACUGGCCAGGUGACUCCAGGUGAAAGCUGUGAACCCUUAUUGAUGUCAUCUGUUAAAAAUUCAAUCAGUGUAGAUGAAUGUAGAGGAGACAGGUUAAAA